rfam:Bacterium TMED15 isolate TMED15 142587, whole genome shotgun sequence.
UUAUGCUAAGCGGGGAAGUAGCGGUGCCCUAGACCUGCAAUCCGCUAUAGCAGGGCUGAAUUACCAUCGGACGGUGAACUUUCUCUUGGACUGCCAGUNGUACGUGGUGUUGAGAGCUGGGUCCUGAGCAACUGNAUGUUACCGAACCCCGUCAGNUCCGGAAGGAAGCAGCGGUAGGUAAUCUGACAGUGUGACACAGGGUAGCCUAGCUUGAGCUAACGAUUACUGUAACGCUUGGGAUUGUUGAUCAACCUUUGGUUGCAUAG